GGUCUAUAGCUCAGUGGCAAAGCAUCUGGCUUGCAAGCAGAUGGUCGCAGGUUCAAUUCCAGGCAUCACCA